rnacentral:rRNA from 1 species
CCUACGGGUGGCAGCAGUAGGGAAUCUUUCACAAUGGGCGAAAGCCUGAUGGAGCAACGCCGCGUGCAGGAUGAAGGCCUUCGGGUUGUAAACUGCUUUUAUAAGCGAGAAAGAUGAUGGUAACUUAUGAAUAAGGAUCGGCUAACUACGUGCCAGCAGCCGCGGUCAUACGUAGGAUCCGAGCAUUAUCCGGAGUGACUGGGUGUAAAGAGUUGCGUAGGUGGCAUAAUAAGUAGCUAGUGAAAUCUGGUGGCUCAACCAUUCAGACUAUUAGCUAAACUGUUAAGCUCGAGACCGUUAGGGGUAACUGGAAUUUCUAGUGUAGGAGUGAAAUCCGUAGAUAUUAGCAGGAACACCAAUAGCGUAGGCAGGUUGCUGGGACGGUUCUGACACUAAGGCACGAAAGCGUAGGGAGCAAACGGGAUUAGAUACCCCUGUAGUC